rnacentral:rRNA from 1 species
UACGUAGGGUGCGAGCGUUGUCCGGAAUUACUGGGCGUAAAGCGUACGCAGGCGGCUUUGCAAGACAGGUGUGAAAUCCCCGGGCCUAACCUGGGAACUGCAUUUGUGACUGCACAGCUGGAGUGCGGCAGAGGGGGAUGGAAUUCCGCGUGUAGCAGUGAAAUGCGUAGAUAUGCGGAGGAACACCGAUGGCGAAGGCAAUCCCCUGGGCCUGCACUGACGCUCAUGCACGAAAGCGUGGGGAGCAAACAGG